rnacentral:lncRNA from 1 species
AAAGUGCUGGGAUUACAGGCAUGAACCACCACGCCUGGCCAGUCCUCUCAGAGCUUUAAGUCUGUCAUCUUGAACUAAUUCUGUGUGCGGGGAUGCAUGACUGUAUCAUGGCCAAGAAGGUAGGCUGUUCCCCAAAGAUUCACGCUGCCCUUCCUCACUUACUGCUGAGAAGAGGCUGCUCACCCAGAGGACUUCGUCAACCAGAUCACAAGUGCCAUGCAUCACCUCUGCCUCAGUGCUUCAGAAGCAGAUAUAUUUGACUCACCCCUUACUGGAAAAAAAGAAAAAUCUGAUCUUGGAGCUGCUAAUCUGAACUGUUUCCAUGCAUCAUGCCAAAUGGAAAAUCUUUAUCCCUACGUAGUAGGUGCCAAAAUCAAGGUAUCAAAGGAGUCCAUGAUGAAAAGAAGCAUCACUCCACAGCAAAUUGAAGGGAGUAGGGGCAGGACAGGACUGUGAUUUACUGAAAUUAAAAUAUACACAAGCCUCAGUCUAUUUUCUAGCAAAAUGAUAAGCCUAAAUAUGCAAAUAUGGCUCGCUUUACCCUGUGAUGCAAACAACCCACACCAAACUAGACUGGCAAUGCAGCUAAACUAUUCGUGAUUUGCUUAUAAGUGAAAGGCAAGAAGAGCAGCAAUUAAAAACCAUGACUGGUGAGGCGCGAUGGCUCACGCCUAUAAUCCCAGCAUUCUGGGAGGCCUAGGCAGGUGGAUCACAAGGUCAGGAGUUCAAGACCAGCCUGGCCAACAGGGUGAAACCCUGUUUCUACUAAAAAUACAAAAAUUAGCUGAGUGUGGUGGCACCCGUCUAUAAUCCCAGCUACUCGGGAGGCUGAGGCAGGAGAAUCACUUGAACCCAGCAGGCGGAAGUUGCCAUCAGCUGAGAUUGUGCCACUGCACUCCAGCCUGGGCGACAAAGCAAGACUCUGUCUCAAAAAUAAAUAAAUAAAUAAAUAAUAAAUAUGAAAACCAUAACCAUCUCAUGACAAAAACCAGAAGGUAUACACCCCUAAAGCAUGCUUCCUCCAAGUCAAGCAAAUUCCAGCUCUCUGCAUGGGCACAUGUGCGGUUGGAACUGGGCAGUGUUGUCCUUGACUGAGUGCAGGCCAGGCUUCUUAUGGAAUCCU